CACGUCACACGAUACACCCUUCCUGCAGAGCAAAAGCGCUCAGCGGGAAAACAGAUAACAGAACAUCAUUAUUAACAGUCCUCGGAGAGCAGACAUCGUUUCACCAUGAGCCGACGUUUGGUUUUCUUCGUUUUUGUGUCGUUGAUGGUAUUAUUGGCUGUUGUGGAGGUAACAGCAAAUACAAAUCAUGAAAAACAACCAAACAGAACCUCUAGCGAAAAGCCGACAGGCGCAGCGGACACGCUGGCUGCCCCUCUGAUCCUGCAGCUGGCCGGGACUCUCUUUCCUCUGCUGCUGCACAAGCUCUUCUGACGGGCCUGCCUCCCAGGGACCGGCCCGUGCCAGACGGAGAAGGAUCUGCCAAAUACAGAACCACAUCUGCUUAGGAGCACGUAUACAAACUUCUGUUGUUUUGUGAUGACCUCAUUGUACGGGAGUGCUGGUGGAACAGCACAGUGAAUGUUUCUAAGGUACCUCUGCAUACUAGCGAAUUCUUUGCAAAUGAUAAAUUGCAUUUUGUCUGUAAAGCGGAUUGGAAUGAUAUUUUCUUACAACAAUAAACGUUUUUUGGCUUGGCACUA